CACAGACUUCUGAGAGCAUGGCCGUCCAAGAAGAAAAUGUAGCCAUUGGUGCCAUCUAUCGACCACAGGUUAAAGAUUGGCGAUCCGUUGGGUACCGACCGAGUUAUAGGCAAAACUUGGUGCAAAAAUGAGGAAAAUUUUACAUUUUCUCAAACAGGGUAUGGAAUUUGGUUCCUCGAAUAUCUUCUGGCACAGACAUCUGAGGGCAUGGCCGUCCAAGAAGAAAAUGUAGCCAUUGGUGCCAUCUAUCGACCACAGGUUAAAGAUUGGCGAUCCGUUGGAUACCGACCGAGUUAUAGGCAAAACUUGGUGCAAAAAUG